rnacentral:rRNA from 1 species
UACAGAGGUCCCAAGCGUUGUUCGGAUUCACUGGGCGUAAAGGGUGCGUAGGUGGUGAGGUAAGUCGGAUGUGAAAGCUCGGAGCUCAACUCCGAAAUGGCAUUGGAAACUACCUUGCUCGAGGGUUGGAGGGGGGACUGGAAUACUUGGUGUAGCAGUGAAAUGCGUAGAUAUCAAGUGGAACACCAGUGGCGAAGGCGAGUCCCUGGACAACUCCUGACACUGAGGCACGAAGGCCCAGGGGAGCAAAACGGG